rnacentral:rRNA from 1 species
AGCAAACGCUGGCGGCGUGCCUAAUACAUGCAAGUCGAACGAGGAAAGCUUUCGGGUGAGUACUAGUGGCGCACGGGUGAGUAACGCGUGGGUAAUCUACCAUCGAGUGGGAAUAACUAAUCGAAAGAUUAGCUAAUACCGCAUAAGACCACAGAAGCUACGGCUUCAGAGGUCAAAGGAGCAAUUCGCUUGAUGAUGAGCCCGCGUCGGAUUAGCUAGUUGGUAGGGUAAUGGCCUACCAAGGCAGUGAUCCGUAGCUGGUCUGAGAGGAUGAUCAGCCACACUGGAACUGAGACACGGUCCAGACUCCUACGGGAGGCAGCAGUAGGGAAUAUUGCGCAAUGGGGGGAAACCCUGACGCAGCGACGCCGCGUGAGUGAUGAAGGCCUUCGGGUCGUAAAGCUCUGUUGCAAGGGAAUAAGAAAGUGAAUGUACCUUGUGAGGAAGGGAUCGGCUAAACUUCGUGCCAGCAGCCGAGGUAAU